ACGACCUUACUUGAACAGGAUCUGUUCUAUAGGCUCGUACUUCUGUAUCCUUGAUUUCUAAGGAGACAGGAAACUAGGUCUGGUGGAUGAACCAUGACUGCUCGACCAGAGCGUGAUUAACAGCCCCAGUGGUUAGGUUACCGAGCCGCUGGCGCAAUAGAGGAUCGUUCUCAGCUCGCUUUGGUUGGUCUGGCAGUUGUCUGACAGACU